UACGUAGGGUGCGAGCGUUAAUCGGAAUUACUGGGCGUAAAGCGUGCGCAGGCGGUUCGUUGUGUCGGCGGUGAAAGCCCCGGGCUCAACCUGGGAAUGGCCGUUGAAACUGGCGAACUGGAGUGUGGCAGAGGGGGGUGGAAUUCCGCGUGUAGCAGUGAAAUGCGUAGAGAUCGGGAGGAACACCAGUGGUGUAGACGGCGUUCUGGACGAGUACUGACGCUGAGAUACGAAAGCGUGGGGAGCAAACAGG
rnacentral:rRNA from 1 species